GAUGAACGCUAGCGGCAGGCUUAAUACAUGCAAGUCGAGGGGCAUCAAGGUACACGAAAGUGUAUUGUUGGCGACCGGCGGACGGGUGAGUAAUAGGUAGGUAACCUACCUCAUACUGAGGCAUAGCUGGGAGAAAUUCCAGGUAAUUCCUCAUGAGGUUAUAUGACACAUGUGAUAUAAUCAAAGGUAUCGCAAGGUACUGGUAUGAGAUGGGCUUACUGACCAUUAGCUAGUUGGUGAGAUAAGAGCUCACCAAGGCGAAGAUGGUUAGGGGUUUUGAGAGAGAGAUCCCCCACAUUGGAACUGAGAUACGGUCUAGACUCCUACGGGAGGCAGCAGUAGGGAAUAUUGGGCAAUGGGCGGAAGCCUGACCCAGCCAUGCCGCGUGAAGGAAGACGGCCUUAUGGGUUGUAAACUUCUUUACUAUGCGACUAACUAGAUUUACGAGAUAAUUCUAUAGAAUGUAGCAUAGCAAAAAGCACC
rnacentral:rRNA from 1 species